rnacentral:rRNA from 1 species
AUUGAACGCUGGCGGCAUGCUUUACACAUGCAAGUCGAACGGCAGCGCGGGCUUCGGCCUGGCGGCGAGUGGCGAACGGGUGAGUAAUACAUCGGAACGUGCCCAGUAGUGGGGGAUAGCUCGGCGAAAGCCGGAUUAAUACCGCAUACGACCUGAGGGUGAAAGCGGGGGAUCUUCGGACCUCGCGCUAUUGGAGCGGCCGAUGGCAGAUUAGCUAGUUGGUGGGGUAAAGGCCUACAAAGGCGACGAUCUGUAGCUGGUCUGAGAGGACGACCAGCCACACUGGGACUGAGACACGGCCCAGACUCCUACGGGAGGCAGCAGUGGGGAAUUUUGGACAAUGGGCGAAAGCCUGAUCCAGCAAUGCCGCGUGUGUGAUGAAGGCCUUCGGGUUGUAAAGCACUUUUGGCGGGAACGAAAAGGACUGUGCCAAUACCACGGUUCGAUGACGGUACCCGCAGAAUAAGCACCGGCUAACUACGUG